CCUACGGGUGGCAGCCGUGGGGAAUAUUGCGCAAUGGGUGAAAGCCUGACGCAGCGACGCCGCGUGAGGGAUGAAGGUCUUCGGAUCGUAAACCUCUGUCAGCAGGGAAGAACGGUCACUGUGCUAAUCAGCAGUGAAUUGACGGUACCUGAAGAAGAAGCCCCGGCUAACUACGUGCCAGCAGCCGCGGUAAUACGUAGGGGGCAAGCGUUAUCCGGAUUUACUGGGUGUAAAGGGGGCGCAGACGGCGAUGCAAGCCAGGAGUGAAAGCCCGGGGCACAACCCCGGGACUGCUCUUGGAACUGCGUGGCGGGAGUGCAGGAGGGGCAGGCGGAAUGCCUGGUGUAGCGGUGAAAUGCGUAGAUAUCAGGAGGAACACCGGUGGCGAAGGCGGCCUGCUGGACUGCAACUGACGUUGAGGCCCGAAAGCGUGGGGAGCAAACAGGAUUAGAUACCCUGGUAGUC
rnacentral:rRNA from 1 species